GGUCGGCAGAUGAAAUUCUUUUUAUAUUUUAUUGUCGAUAUCUUCNGCCCGGUGUUUUAUAUAAACGGCCGCAGUACCUUGACUGUGCUAAGGUAGCAUAAUCAAUUGGCUAUUAAUUGUAGUCUAGUAUGAAUGAAGUAAUGGAUAGUAACUAUAAUAAAAAAUAUUACUUUAAUUUAAUGAACUGGUGAAAAUACUAGGAUAUAGAAAAAAGACGAGAAGACCCUUAGAGUUAUUAAAUAAAAGAUUGUUUAAGACUUUGAUGUAUUUAUUAUCAUCUUAAAGUAUUUAUACAACACACUUUUUUGUUGGGGCGACAAGAAAACAAUAUAUAACCUUUCUAUUUAUAUUAAAAUUUAUGUAAUUACAUGUGACGAAAUUUUUAUGAUUACUAAACUACCUUAGGGAUAACAGCAUAAUGAUAAUAUUAGUUUGUGACCUCGAUGUUGGACUAGGGACUUGUACACAACCGUGAUAAAAGAAUGUUUUGUUCGAAAAAUAACCCCC
rnacentral:rRNA from 1 species